rfam:Physcomitrella patens subsp. patens PHYPAscaffold_25 genomic scaffold, whole genome shotgun sequence.
GUGCUCAUGCUGGAGUGGUUAUCGGGCAUGACCAAAAAUCAUGUGGGCUUUGCCCGCGCAGAUUCGAAUCCUGCUGAGCACG